GCCAGCCCAGUGUUCAGACUACCUGUUCAGGGGGCUCGGAAUGUGUACAGUAGUCUGCACAUUGGUUAGGC
rnacentral:pre_miRNA from 1 species